rnacentral:rRNA from 1 species
GACGAACGCUGGCGGCGUGCUUAAUACAUGCAAGUCGAACGGAAAGGCCCUGCUUUUGUGGGGUGCUCGAGUGGCGAACGGGUGAGUAACACGUGAGUAACAUGCCCUUGACAUUGGGGUAACUUCAGGAAACAGGGGAUAAUACCGGAUAGGAGCUCCUGCUGCAUGGGGGGGGUUGGAAAGAUUCGGCGGUUGGGGAUGGAAUAGAGGCUUAUCCGCUUGUUGGGGGGGUAGUGGCUGACCAAGGCUUUGACGGGUAGGCGGCCUGAGAGGGUGACCGGCCACAUUGGGACUGCGAUACGGCCCAGACUCCUACGGUAGGCAGCAGUGGGGAAUAUUGCACAGUGGGCCGAAGCCAGAUGCAGCGACGCCGCGUGCGGGAUGACGUCUUUCGGGUUGUAAACCGCUUUCGCCUGUGACGAGGCGUGAGUGACGGUAAUGGGUAAAGAAGCACCGGCUAACUACGUG